CGACCGUGGGCGGGGUUCCGUCGGCGGUUGGAGGAUCGGGGUGGGCGGCAGCAGCUGAGGUUCCCAGUUACAGCCAAGCACCUGCUCAACACCAGAAUCAGAGGGAUGAUUUAUUGUAGUUCUGCAGGAUAAAAACUAGGCGCUGAGAAUUCCCCACACUAAAGUCAGAGAAAUGUGAGGAGAUGUAAGCAGGUUUGGCGAAGUUCAAAGAUAAGCUGGUGAGAAUGGCUACCAAGAAGGGAAUUUGGAGAUUCAUCAAGAGCAAGAGGCUGAACCGGAUUCUCACUGGUUGUGGAGUAAUCGUUGCUCCUUUCCAGAGUGCUGAAAAAAGAAAUGUGUAAUGGAGAUGAAAAUGGCUGCCACCACACGUGGAGCGGGCGGAGUAAAUAUAUCCGUCUGUGAGGGAAGGGGCUGCCUGUAUCAGUGAUGUGAAGACUUUCAAAGGGCAACAGCAUUACAUACACUCUCAAGGACAAAAGCUGAAACGCUUAUGAGAAAUACACUCCAUGGUAACCUUUGGCAUUAAUCUCCUAUUUGCAAUUCAUUUCCUUGCCCAAGUACUUUCGACCAUGUCAUACAAUGUUACGAACCAAUCCCACUCAUGGCUGUGAUGUAAAAAUAAUAUUUGGCUACUGGUCAGACUGAUUCUAUUUGUUAAAUUCUCAAGCACCUGCAAUUAGACAAAGCCAACUCAGAGUGCACACCAUUCAAAUAUUGGCCCAUUGAACAUCAUAGCUGGCUCGGCUGUGUACCUUCAGUGUUGUAGCUCCAGCUAGACAAUAAUGAGCAGCUGAUGAAUAAAUGAAUGUAUAAUUACAAAUGCGAGGAUGUAUUUAUAGCAAAGCAUCACUGCACUGCCAUUAUACCCUGAGAAGAUACUCUCUUCUUUCCCCUCCCACUACAUCUCAUUGGGCUCACAGCUGGAUUGGAGAGAGCUGCCCUACAGUGGAACCCAUUGACUUUGGAGAUCUGGUCAGGUGACCACAGUGGUGCUGGUGUCUUGAAGGCCCAGGCACCAUGUCCUGCCCAGAGGCAGGAUCAGCCUCCUUGGUUUGAACUUCUGCAGGGCUGAGGGUGGCAGAACAAGGUGAACAUGAACACCUUGGUCACCUCUGGACUGUCUCAAGAGGAGACUUCUGGUGUGGGUGUUGGUGGUUACGGGGUUUGCUGUAUGUUGUCCUUUCUCUGGAUUGGUGAGUUCUGGCAUGGUCCGGUCUCCUUGUGGGGAUAGGGCACCCACAGCAAUGCAAUGUCCCCUGCAUCUCCCCUUUUGCCAAGCAGUUGGUGCUGAACACCAAUGACUGGAGUGAUGGAGUACACAUAUCCAGCAGAGAUUGGUGAGCCUGGCUCUCCAUGAUAGCUGCCAGCCUGGAUCUUGGCCAGGUUUUUGCCGUACCGAAGCCUUUGGGUCAGGUCACCCCAGUGCCUCCUACUCCUGUACUUGCUUGUGCAUAUCAAUGAAGUCCCAAAUUGCUAUCACCAUGGUGCCAUCUCCUGCCUGGGGCAAGUAUCUGCCAGUCCUCUGCAUGCCAAUUACUAGGUGUGCCUCCCCAUUGCCAGCUGCAGGUACAUGGCAGUGAAAUGCUUAACAGCAGGUGCUCCUGACUGACUAUGGCAUGCCUCUUGUACCUGCAGGAGACAAAAGAGAGAAAGUGUUUUGAAAGUUCUUUUUAAAUGAACUUCUCCCUGCUCUGAAUUAUUGACAAAGAUGUAAUAACAACAAUAGAGCAGCACUUCCUCCCAGCCCUGCAAUAAACCAUCCCUCUGAUUCUGGUGUUGUCU